rnacentral:rRNA from 1 species
UACGUAGGGUGCAAGCGUUGUCCGGAAUUAUUGGGCGUAAAGAGCUCGUAGGCGGUUUGUCGCGUCUGCUGUGAAAACUCGGGGCUUAACUCCGGGCCUGCAGUGGGUACGGGCAGACUAGAGUGCGGUAGGGGAGACUGGAAUUCCUGGUGUAGCGGUGAAAUGCGCAGAUAUCAGGAGGAACACCGGUGGCGAAGGCAGGUCACUGGGCCGCAACUGACGCUGAGGAGCGAAAGCAUGGGGAGCGAACAGG